AUACUUACCUGGAUGGGGUCUUUGGCUGAUCAAUAAGGGUCAUGGCCUAUGUUAACGUCUUCCAUUGCACUUGAGAAGAGUGUUUGCCUACCAUCUUCUAAAAGAGAGUGGACAUCAUAAUUUGUGAAAGAGGGGAUACGCGUUCGCGCGGCCCCUAC
rnacentral:snRNA from 2 species